rnacentral:sRNA from 12 species
CGACCGCUGCUUUUCAGCAGCUAAGGCCAGACGGACAGCCGGGUCGAAUGCCGA